rnacentral:rRNA from 1 species
GACGAACGCUGGCGGCGUGCUUAACACAUGCAAGUCGAACGGAAAGGCCCUGCUUUUGUGGGGUGCUCGAGUGGCAAACGGGUGAGUAACACGUGAGUAACCUGCCCUUGACUUUGGGAUAACUUCAGGAAACUGGGGCUAAUACCGGAUAGGAGCUCCUGCUGCAUGGUGGGGGUUGGAAAGUUUCGGCGGUUGGGGAUGGACUCGCAGCUUAUCAGCUUGUUGGUGGGGUAGUGGCUUACCAAGGCUUUGACGGGUAGCCGGCCUGAGAGGGUGACCGGCCACAUUGGGACUGAGAUACGGCCCAGACUCCUACGGGAGGCAGCAGUGGGGAAUAUUGCACAAUGGGCGGAAGCCUGAUGCAGCAACGCCGCGUGCGGGAUGACGGCCUUCGGGUUGUAAACCGCUUUCGCCUGUGACGAAGCGUGAGUGACGGUAAUGGGUAAAGAAGCACCGGCUAACUACGUG